GAUCUGUAGUCUGAGAAGUGGUUUAUUAUUGAUCCAGCUGCUAGGUGUUAGGAAGACAGGUUGCUGACAACUGUUUGUAGUAAAAUGUUCCACCACCACUAUGCAAGGUAAAAACUGAAGAGCUUUUGAAACUGCACACAAGCACUUGGGAGGUAAUGGUGAUUGGAAACACCUGCAAGAAAUUUAUCACUUUUAUUAAGAAACAAUGAUUGUACAAUUCAAGAUAAAAACCAGAUGUCUGAUGAGUUGUUUCAGAAGGUUAAAAAAAAAAAUGGCUCUUUAUAAGAAAUAAUGGUAAAAAGACUCAUUCAGUUUGGCAAGACAUUUUAUUCACAAAAUCUCCCGUUCCUCCUUAACUUUCUGCUCAAAGAACUCAUAAGGCUGGAAGCCGAUGUUUGAUAUUUACACAGCUCAAAAUCUGAAUGAAUACACACUAAUGUCUUUUAGCUGUUUUAUACACUAUUCUGCUAUCUCCUCCCUUCCUCCCCCGAUCUUUGUUCUUAGAACAUAAUACUGAAUGAAGAGCUCAGGGGCUGGAUAAAUAAAAUCCCUGCUACCCCUCUCCACCACAUAAUUUGUUAGGAAAUCCUACUUCUAAAAUCAUCCUCUUUUUUUGGAGGAUGAGGCCAUUCUGUAGGAUGAAAGCAACCAGCACAGAAAUGACUUGUGAUUGCUAGUGAAACCCAAGACAUUUUUAUUGCAUUGGGGAAGAACCACUGCUACUCUCUCUGGUUCACAGGAAUCUUCUUUACAUCUCAAAAGAUAUCAAUAAUUCAAUGUGCCAAAGGAGUUAUUACAACUUUUUUCUUAAAAACUAAGGGCCUUAUUUCUUCUAAACAUAGACGAAGCUUUCUUUUUCCACCUAUCCCAGGUUCCCUUGCAGCUUGCCUCACUUGAUUAAAACAGGAAUUUUGGUAGGACAGUUAGUGAUUUAAGUAGGUAAAGCUCAGGGGUGGUGUCUCAGUAUGAUACUGCAAACAGACAAUAAUCUCCAGGCAUCAGCCAGUACAAACUAACUGUGCCAGCUACGGAGAUGUAAGGGUGGGCUGGUCACCCCAGGCAGCACACUACAGAAACUUUUAAGAAUCGUUAAUACUCUGAUAGGCAUCUCCUUGCACUUACUUCCUGAGCAUCAAAUAUGUAAGGUGCUAAAUAUAUAAUGCUCUUCCCUCCUACCACCAGGCAAUCAAGAGAGCAAAAAGCUGCAUAGCAGGCUGCAUACCAAUAGCAGUCCCUGGUGUAUGUCCCCCAAUCUUCCUCCACUCCUCCUCUUGCUUGGAAUCUUAGGAUGUUUCCCCUUAUGUGCUUUCUUGCCAACCAGCUGAUGAAGGGUGGGAAUAGGAAGCUUUCUCAGAAACUCAAGGGAAGAAGCAAUCUUGGCAAGCGUUCAUUUAUUCACAUAACAUAAGUCAGACACUCUGCCAGGGGCUGGUGACACAGAUACAAAUAAGACAUGAUUGUUGGCCCCUACUGUCCCUGGUAUGUCUACUGGGAGGAAGCUGCUGAACAGAGAGAAGACAUUACAAAGCCAAGAGGGCCAGUCUCCUGUCCGAGCUCGGUACAUGUUGCAUAUAUUCCAAGGCUUAUGACUAGUUCUUUUACUUACAAACAUUGUUUAUACUCAAUUUCAAAUGUCACACCCAUCAACAGUAAUAAUGAAUGGAUUUUACCUAUAUUGACAGUUCUUUCAAUAUAAGAAUGAACUGCCA